ACCCCCGAACCCUCGCCCUCCUCACCCCGCGCACCCCCUCCACCUCGCCGCCGCCGCCGACUCGCCGGGGCUCGCCGCCACCGGUGGUGGGGGGGAGCUCGACCUCCUCGCCCCACGCGCGCAUCCGGACGCCGUCGUUCUGGGCGCGGGAGAGAUCCGUCCGUCGCCCCCCGCUGGGCUUGCGCCAUCCUCUCGCCGGGUAAGCCCUAGGUUUUUUUUUUUUUUUGGUCCGAUCGAUUCCGCCGCGCUCCUAGCCGCGGGUGAGGCAGGAAUCGGGGUGGUUGCGGGGGGCUCGUCGUGCGGUCGAGGGAUUUGGUUGUUCCUAGUAGGAGGGGUUGUACUUGUUCAUCCCGUCGAUCCAGUGGAGGCGCGUGGGAGAUCUCGGUUGGGGGUUUCCGUGGGCUCCGUGGGUUGCCGCUCGCGGUGCAGCGGCGGGAUGUGGAUGGGGAUGGGGAUGGCGUGGUGGGCCGUAGGUGCGAGCAACCCUAGACGGAUUUUUUUUUUGUGGCCAUUUUAGGGUUUACGGGAAUGGAUUUUUUUUUUACCGAACAAGAGAUGUACUCUGAAAAUUGCUGUCUUUUCGUAGCGAGGGGCCUAUAGGAUCAUUGAAGCCUUAGGGACUUAGGGUUUGGGCUGCUUGCAGCUGUAUUUCUCAUUUGUAAACAUUAGACUUCCGUGUCUGCUGUGGGAGGAUGAAAGAAUUGACUUGGGAGCUGAGUUCUAUUAGGUUCACUGGUUUUGUGGAGUAAUGUUUGGAAAUAAUCUGAGGGAGUAUAAGGCUGCUCCAUCGCAGUGCCACGUGUAGCAUUCGGUUCGAAUUUUUCAUUUGUGUAAUGUUUCUUAGCAGUUACUUUUUAUUUUGGAAGUUGGUUCUCCCAAAAAACUUGUGUCCUAUCUGGUUUAUUUGAAGGUAUCUUAGGACAACAAGACGAUUAGAUGCAAAAGUUGAAAGUAGGGGCAUUAACAUAAACCUUGUUGGGUGCAGAAUAUGGUAAUUUUAUACGUAUUAAUUGCGUACGUACCGUUUCCACAAAAUUGUUCAUGUAGUAAUAAAUAACUGCCAAAGAAAGCUGAUGUGACUCCAUGAAUGAAUGUAUACUACGCUAUAUCUGCUGUAUUGAUUGCUGUAGCAAUCCAUUCGUUUUCAGUAUUGUGCUGGUGCAUUGUUUGCAAAAGCAAAUCAUAUUUAUUAAUUUUUCAUUAUUGAGUUGCAGCUUGCAAAUGUGUAUGUAUGUACAUAUUGUGAGAGAAAGUAGGCAUGUCUGAACUCUCAACAUGAUUAUUGUCAUAAGAAAAAUGUUAUCGUUGUUUUUCUCUCUUUUUGGGUAACUGUUUGUGUUUAUGGUUAUAAGUUCUAUAUUAUAAAUUUGUUCAGGCUGGAAUUAGGCUGACCAAAUCCUUGUUUUGAAAUUCGAAUUAUAUUGAUAUAUAUCUUGUACGGUCAUUGCAUUUUUUAUUGUUUUGCUUUAUAACUAUAUAUAGGCUGGCUUCAUUACGUACUCCCUCCGUCCCAAAAAAACUUAACCUAGGCAAGGAUGUGACAUCUCCUAGCACAAUAAAUCUGGACAGUCCUUUGUCCAGAUUCGUUGUACUAGAAAAUGUCACAUCCCUUCCUAGGUUUAGUUUUUUUGGGACGGAGGGAGUAAACUUGUCUAUGUUAAAGUUUGGAAUAUCCAAAGGUCCUCAACCUAGUAUGUACUAUUUUCUUGACCUUAACAUGGAACUAUACAUGACCUUUUUUUUUCCUAUUUUACUGAAUAAGAUGAUUGUUUGUUUGCGGUUUCCUAAAUGUACUUAACUGUUGGUAUUGUUGUGAAGAUGUGACGGAAUUAGUAUUGUGGUAUUACAUCUAUGUCGUAGACAGCUUUUUGGGUUUGCAGGAAUGAAGUACAUAAAUAUCUGUUUGGUGCUGUGGUACAACAAUGUAAAUAGUUUAUUGCAGUGACAAUGUUGCACUGUUGCAUGCAUUUUUGUUAGGAUCAUGGUUGUCUGUUGCCUUGUUAUGCCAUUAACAAAUCUAGAAUAAGUGAAGCAGCUUAAAGUUAUGUUCUCGUGCUCUUAAGAGCAAACAUUUAAGAGGUAUAAUAGCAUUCUGUGUUCAAACUAUAUUUUAGAACCUUUGCCCUUGCUUAAAUAGUUUUAUUUAUAAGAGAUGUUGAGGAGCAAACACUGCAUAUCUUUACACUUCACAUACGAAUAUACUUUGUGCUUUGCUGCCUGGAUUACUGCAUCUACUUUUUUGUUAAAUUCAAUUUCUUGCAUAAAAUGGGGAUAAGUUAACUGAGAGCUUCAGUAGACUAGUACAUCACAACCUAGGUAAUUGGAAGAAUUAGCUACUAUGAUUCUUUGUUGAAACUUAGGUUUAGUAAAAUAGAGUAACCAGAUAAUAGGUUCUAUCAAAUGGAAACUGGAGAAGGUACUUCCAUAGUCGUAUCAUUGUUAAUUUCACCCUCAGUAUAAUAUUAGUGUUGAAUAUAUGAAAGUUUGCUUUCGAUGAUUUCAGGUGAUUUGAGACAAUCAAGAUGGCUUUUUCAUCAGUUUUCAGGAGAGGAAAUGUCAAAGAAUUGAUCUCAAAUGUUUCGGUCUACACUAGCGCAGCAGGUAAUGGCUUUGGCUUUAGGCAGUCUGAGACUCUUGACUGACUUGAGUCUGUAUUUGUGCUAUUUUGAAUAAGGUGCUUGGCUGUUUGAAUGACAAAAUAUACCUCAUUGCAGAGUCAUCUGGAGGAUUGAGCUUGAUUUUUAAGCGUUGGGCCACCAAAAAGACAGCUGGAUCAACAAAAAAUGGCCGUGACUCUAACCCUAAGUAUUUGGGUGUUAAAAAGUUUGGCGGAGAGGUACAAUCUUGUGAUCUGUCAUAUGACUUUCAUGUUUUUUUAUUGUUUAUGACAGCACAAAGUACUUUCUUUAAUCACGUAAAAGUAAUCAGACUUCGGAGAUUUGUGUGUCCCUUCUGAUCCCGUACCUGAACUCCUGAAGCAACUUGUCAUUUUUGUUAUUAGAACAAAAAGGUGAAAAAGAUCUAAACUGUUCCUGAACAUCAGCAUUUGCAUCAUUUUUCAGAAAGUGGAGCCAGGAAACAUCAUCAUCCGCCAAAGAGGAACCCGCUUCCAUCCUGGGAACUACGUUGGCAUGGGGAAGGACCAUACUCUCUUCUGUCUGAAAGAAGGACAUGUGCGAUUCGAGCGCAACAAGCUGACUGGCAGGAAAUGGGUUCAUGUUGAUCCUGUUGCUGGGCAUGUGCUCCACCCUGUCUACGCCAGUGAUUCGACCCCUGCAGCUGAAAUGGAGCCAUUGUAAUGGCUUUACAUGGAAUGAAGUAACAUAUGUUGCUGACAGCUUUCGUCCUUGCCUUGAGAGUGACUUCUCUAAAGAAACUUAUUGCGAUUAAGAGGCUUCUGGGUUGAAUUUGCUUGCAAUAAGGAACCUAACCAUCAUGUUUAGAACCCUUUUGUUUUUGGUUCUUGCUGUGGCUUAAAGUUGUUUGUUUUAAGUAUCCUUUGUGAUUUGUGGCAUGAAGGUUGACAAACCUACAUGAUUUAUGAACACACAGAAAUUCUAAAAAUGUUGCUUGGGCCGGGAAAGUCAAGAUGCUUAUUUUUCUUCGAAAUACCUAUGGAAUAACCUAUGUCACGGGAAUUUGAGAGAACUACUUUGUAGGAGGGUUAAUCCUUUGGCUUCAAGAGUUUCACAUGAUUGUUUUUCAUAUAUGAUUUAAAAUAUUCUGCAAUACGUAGGAUUUUCAUUCGAAUUGAUUCAGUUUCUGCAAAAGUCAUCUAGAAUUCGUUUGGUUCAAAUGAAGUAUUUCUUUGUUGCAAUACAUACUCUUCCCGCCCAAUCACCCAAUGAUCCAAAGGAAUAUAUGUGUGAGCACUUCCUUUAUUGAAGUAUAGUAUCGGUUGUUUUAAUUCCAACUCUUCACAUUUUGGAAUCUACCCUGGAAAUGGCUAUUUUGAAAGUUUUACUACUAUUUUAUUGUCAUGUUAUAACAUUACAUAGAGUUAAUUUAUCGGUCACUCCAUCAUCUUUUUAAUAAGUUUUUUUGAAAGCUAAUACUUAAUUACCUGUGCAUUACUCUAUCGCUUCAUUCUGUAUGUAGUGGAAGUGUUCUCUACCCAAAAUGAUAUAAGUACGUCUUAAAACGCCAUAGAAAAACUGGUUAUCUUUAUUACAACCCAAUCUUUUUGCUUUUGCUUAUACUUAUAAGCCAAAAUUUAAAUUUUCAACCUUAAAUUUGGAGUUGAUUUUGGGGUUUUUCAUCAAAGUUUAUUUUUUAUUUUUUGCUUUUAGAUCACUAAGGCCCUGUUCGUUUCUUAUGUAAGGAGAGGGUUAAAUUGUGAAUACUCGUGGCACGCUUUUAAAACUGCUAAACGAUGCGUUUCGUGCGAAAACUUUCUAUAUGAAAGUUGCUCUAAAAUAUUAGAUUAAUCUAUUUCUUAAGUUUAUAUAAUAAUUAAAACUCAAUUAAUCACAUAUUAUUACCACAUCGUUUUGCGUGAAACACUUAAUCUUUAUCUUCAUCUUCAUCUUCAGGAGAUUCAAACACCACCUAGAAACACAUAUAUAAAAGUUUUGUUCACAAAUUAUUUUUCGUUUGCAAAUAUGCAAUUUUGCUUAGGCUGUGUUUAGUUCAUCGCAAAGUUUAGAUUUUGGUUGAAAUUAGAGAUGAUGUGACUGAAAAGUUAUGUGUGUAUGACAAGUUGAUAUGAUGGAAAAUGACUGAAGUUUGGAUCCAAACUUUGGAUCUAAACACAGCCUUAAUCCCCAAAUAAGCCAAACGAUGGGGGCCUUAGUUUGUUCAACGUGUUAAAAUUAAAAAAUAUAUUUACACAACUAUAAACAUAAGCAAACACACACACACCACGUUAAAAUUCCGAGAGAGAGAGAACCGAUGCGAAAAGAGCGAUCCCCUCCCGCGUCUUUCAAACGGAGCCCGCGCCCCGGAUUCCCCUCCAUUCCCGGGGGUUUCCAGAUUCCCAGCGAGGGAAAAAGCAAGCAAAAAAAAAAAAAAAAAAAAAACGGAGGCGAGCGCGAGCGCUGCGCAUCCCAGAUGGACGGCGGAUCGGGUGCCAGCGCCACCCGCCUCGCCGAAUCCGGGCCGUCCAUUCCUCCGCUCGGUCGGGCGCCCCGUUAAGCCUGAGCCCCACCCACCCCCCACCCCCGAACCCUCGCCCUCCUCACCCCGCGCACCCCCUCCACCUCGCCGCCGCCGCCGACUCGCCGGGGCUCGCCGCCACCGGUGGUGGGGGGGAGCUCGACCUCCUCGCCCCACGCGCGCAUCCGGACGCCGUCGUUCUGGGCGCGGGAGAGAUCCGUCCGUCGCCCCCCGCUGGGCUUGCGCCAUCCUCUCGCCGGGUAAGCCCUAGGUUUUUUUUUUUUUUUGGUCCGAUCGAUUCCGCCGCGCUCCUAGCCGCGGGUGAGGCAGGAAUCGGGGUGGUUGCGGGGGGCUCGUCGUGCGGUCGAGGGAUUUGGUUGUUCCUAGUAGGAGGGGUUGUACUUGUUCAUCCCGUCGAUCCAGUGGAGGCGCGUGGGAGAUCUCGGUUGGGGGUUUCCGUGGGCUCCGUGGGUUGCCGCUCGCGGUGCAGCGGCGGGAUGUGGAUGGGGAUGGGGAUGGCGUGGUGGGCCGUAGGUGCGAGCAACCCUAGACGGAUUUUUUUUUUGUGGCCAUUUUAGGGUUUACGGGAAUGGAUUUUUUUUUUACCGAACAAGAGAUGUACUCUGAAAAUUGCUGUCUUUUCGUAGCGAGGGGCCUAUAGGAUCAUUGAAGCCUUAGGGACUUAGGGUUUGGGCUGCUUGCAGCUGUAUUUCUCAUUUGUAAACAUUAGACUUCCGUGUCUGCUGUGGGAGGAUGAAAGAAUUGACUUGGGAGCUGAGUUCUAUUAGGUUCACUGGUUUUGUGGAGUAAUGUUUGGAAAUAAUCUGAGGGAGUAUAAGGCUGCUCCAUCGCAGUGCCACGUGUAGCAUUCGGUUCGAAUUUUUCAUUUGUGUAAUGUUUCUUAGCAGUUACUUUUUAUUUUGGAAGUUGGUUCUCCCAAAAAACUUGUGUCCUAUCUGGUUUAUUUGAAGGUAUCUUAGGACAACAAGACGAUUAGAUGCAAAAGUUGAAAGUAGGGGCAUUAACAUAAACCUUGUUGGGUGCAGAAUAUGGUAAUUUUAUACGUAUUAAUUGCGUACGUACCGUUUCCACAAAAUUGUUCAUGUAGUAAUAAAUAACUGCCAAAGAAAGCUGAUGUGACUCCAUGAAUGAAUGUAUACUACGCUAUAUCUGCUGUAUUGAUUGCUGUAGCAAUCCAUUCGUUUUCAGUAUUGUG
rnacentral:lncRNA from 1 species